UUUAAGCCAUAUCACUCAGUGGAGGAACAGCAAGCAACAGCGAUUGCUUCAGUAACGGCGAGUGAACCGGCAUUACCACAUGGCUCAACCUGAACGAGAUUCCAAUCCUACCUGUUGCUGUCAAUGACAGAACAGUCGGCUACUGUGGGUUUCUACUGAUGUUGUGGGCUUUGGAUCAUACAGUUGUGCAAGUGGAUGGCUGUGGUACCAUGAAUCUUCCUGGAAUGGCAAACCAUAGAGGGAUACUGUCCCGUACGUCUCAGUGUACCAUGGCUUCUGCUGUGCUUCUGUGUGAAUCCACGAGUAGAGCGGCUUGGGACUGCAGUUUGAAGUGCGAGGUGUAUCCAUCGCAAGGACCAAUACCACCAUGAGACCGAUAGCGCACAAGUAGAGUGAUUGAAGGAUGCAAAGGACUUUGCAAAGAGGGUUAAAAGUCCCUGAAGCCUUGACAGGUACGGCGGUGUGUGAUGCUGUGGAUCCAUCAAGCGGGCUUGGGCUAGCCCAAUACUGUCUACUGAGCCAAUUCCUCAAGGAAUCGAUGCAUUCGUAGCUGUGAUGUGGUGACAGAAUGCUUGUCUGAGCCUGAGUUCUGCAGUGAUCCCAAAGGGAAAGCUAACCCACAGGCAUGGAUCCAUUGGAAGUGUACACAACAGUGUUACUUCCUUGGGACUUUGUCUCGUGAUCGAGUGUUACAAGGAAGCAGCUGUGCUAUAGUACUUGGUGUGCCUACGGGUAUGCCAAUCACUGGUGUCUACCAUGGAUGGAGUAGAGCUUUACUCGUUGAUCGCAUCACUUCUGUUGAUGGUCAAUGGGUGAUGGUUCAUACUCCCCAGAUAGUACCCAGUGUAGAUUGGAUGGCAGCGGAGCUUGGUACGUUCAGUGUCAUACUCUGCCCGUCUUGAAACACGGACCAAGGAGUCUAUGGAGCUUGUAUGCUUGCAAGUGUGAUCAUGGAAAACUGUUAAGGCUUGGUGAAAGCAACGCUUACCCAGAUGGUGCUUGGAUACAGGAAGCCACGAGAGUGCUUGUAGAGGUAUCGGCUGAGGCAAGUGAUGGAUGAGUUAUUGGUGCUUGUACACCAAACCGGUGGUGAUUGCUACUGUUGGCUUGUGAUCUCUCACUGCUGACAGACAACAUCGCUGGUGAGGAGUGCAGAUACCGAUCACACUUGCUCUCGAUGGUGCUCCUACUCGGCCACUACUCGUACGUCUGCUGCUAUCGAGUGAAUACUACUGCAUGGGACACCGGAUUCGAAGUCAAGCUGACAGAGUUUUGAGUGAUUGCAAGGUCCAUGGGACCCGAAAGGUGGUGAACUAUACCAUUCCAUGACGAAGCCAUGGGAAACUGUGGUGGAAGUCAGUCGCUGUUCUGACGUGCAAAUUGUGUAGCCUGAGCAUGGCAUAGGGGUGAAAGGCCAAUCGAACCACCUAGUAGCUGGUUUCCCUCGAAGUUUCCCUCAGGAUAGCUGGGUUCGAAUACAAUUCACUGCUGAGUGGUUACGUCCGGUAAAGCAACGCAUGAGAGGUUUCUUUGGGGAAGGUCUACCUUCUCAACCUAUUCUCGAACUGUGAAUGGGCGUGGUAAACCCAUCACAAGGCAUGCUUCUUCACCAAUGCUAGAGUCUGGAUGUCUCUGCGACACACCAGUCCUCAAGGCUUUCUGAGCGUGUUUGGAUGGCAGCUACUACAAAUCCCAUAGCUCCUUUGGACACACUGUGGAUGGGAGUAGUACUUGCUGCUUGCUUGUCUGGCUUGGAAUGUGAACGAUCAUUGGAUCAGAGUGUGAAUGGCUUAUGCAUGGGAAGCCUGCUACAACGUCUGUUGAUUCCUUGGAUGUCGAUGCUCUGUGACGCUACACUGCUUGUGUACAGCUCUACUCCUGCUUGUGUAUGUGUUUCUCUGUGAAGCCAUACCAAAGCUACAGGGAAGAGACAGACACAGUAGUUUACUAGUACACAGACGCUGUCUUCACCAGGGAAGAAGUGGAUUCACAGCGAGUAUGCCUCGUCACUGUUCAUGACAGAAGAGCCAACAAGAGACAGUGCGCUGCUACUGCUCUACACUAGUGUCAACCAAGGACUCUGCUUGUGGAUCACUGGACUCAGGUGCUGAGAGAGGAGGAGUGAAGCUGUCAUUGCAAUGGAACAAGUGUACCUAUGUGGGCCAUUAUUGGUAAGCAGUGCUGGCGAUGCGGGGUGCUCCGAGAGUGGACUUACAGAUCCAGAGUGCUGGCUCAUACACAGAUCCCACAAAGGAUGUUGAUUGCUAUGGAUAGCAGGUCGGUGGCCAUGAAGGUUGGAACCCGCUAAGGAAUGUGUAACAACUCACCUGCCGAAGUGAUCAGCUCCGAAAAUGGAUGGUGCCCAAGUCAGUGAAGCUACGAUUGUCUUACAGUCCACCGCUGCUGUGGAAUCAGAGCAGAGCAUCAGUGUGUAGAAAGGACAUUGGAGACUACGGUUACUGCUUGUAGUGAUACAAGCUGAAGUGUCUUCUGGCGCAGAUCUUGGUUGUAGUAGCGAGUACUCCAUCGGAUGAAGGGCAGUACAUAUCCUGCUGUGUGUGGUUGAGGACUGGAGUGGAGAAGGUUUCCACACCAAACAGCCGUUGAAUGUGGGUCAAUCGAUCGUGAGCCAAGUGGUAACUUCACUGAACAACCAAAGCUACCGUUACUCUCAGAGUCCAGAGUUACUGGUGACAGCCUACACAUGCAGCCGAAGAGUUCAAGCUUGUACAGAGAGUAUCGUUACCUUCAAGCAGCAGUAACACAGCAACUGGUUCGUUGCUAGUGUACUUGCUUGUUUGGCUGUACUCCUCUGGUACUCGGCCUUGUUCAUUCGAGUAGUAGCGUUGUCUCAGCGACUCCUCUGCGAGGAUCACUGGUGGGAUUGGCGAACAGGUAAGCAGUGCAACAUUCUGCUCUGAUGAGCUUGGUUUCAAACAUCUAUGAGUGGUGACGCUACGUGAACUCGGCAAAGCAAGCUUCGGGGCAGUACACUCCUCAAGGAGUUCUCGUUUCCUUCUGAUGCAGACACAUGUGGGCUAUCGAUGUUCAUGACAGAUGGUGGUGUAAGUCCUUCGUUCAGCAAGACAGCACACUCUCAGUGCUGGUAGUGUCUACUACAACUACCUUGAAUGUUUGACUCUAUGGUGAUUACUGGCUCCACUGAACAGCUUGCAGUGAACUUGUGUUCCAAGUCUCUGAUCUUCGUACUGAAUCACCGCAGCCGGUCUCCUCGGCUAGACGCCGCUGGUCUACGGAUUGAAUGCAGCUAAGGGAAGUCGGCAAACUAGCUGUGUACCUUCGGAAGAUGCAGUGGCUCCAGAGAUCAAGGUACUGGGCUCUGUUACAGGCAGUGCUUUCUCUGUGUUAGACUCUACCGUUGUGUGGUGCCUUCGGGUAUUGUACGAUGGCUUGAGUUUUCAAUGCAGAACACUGUUGGUGCACCGGAGUACGGGAUAGUUACCAAGGCUUGUCCUUGUGUACUACUACGACUCAUGGGAACCAUUUGUAGCAGAGAGCGAAGUGGUGUCAAAACCAUUAGCUCUACUUGGUACCUGCCUAGUGAUUCAUUUGGAACUGUUGCUGUGCAAGGGAAUCUGACUGUUUAAUUGAAACACAGCUUUGUGAUGGAUCCAACUGGUUGGUUCCAUGAGGUGACUUCUGCCCAGUGCUCUGAUUGUCAUUGCGAAGAGAUUCAGCCAAGCGCGGGUAAACGGCGGGAGUAACUAUGACUCUCUUAAGGUAGCCAAAUGCCUCGUCAACCAAUUAUUGACGCGCAUGAAUGGAUCAACGAGAUUCCUGCUGUCCCUAGGUGCUGUCCGGUGAACCAACAGCCAAGGGAACGGGCUUGGAUGUGUUAGCGGGGAAAGAAGAGCCUGUUGAGA
rnacentral:rRNA from 1 species